rfam:Triticum aestivum genome assembly, contig: Triticum_aestivum_CS42_TGACv1_scaffold_576926_7BL
UAUUUACUCCCUCCGUUCGGAAUUACUUGUCUCGGAAAUGGAUGUAUCUAGAAUUAAAAUACAUCUAGAUACAUCCAUUUCUACGACAAGUAAUUCCGAACGGGGGGAGUAUCUU